CUACGGGUUGCAGCAGUGAGGAAUUUUGCGCAAUGGGCGCAAGCCUGAUGCAGCCAUGCCGCGUGUAUGAAGAAGGCCUUCGGGUUGUAAAGUACUUUCAGCGGGGAGGAAGGGAGUAAAGUUAAUACCUUUGCUCAUUGACGUUACCCGCAGAAGAAGCACCGGCUAACUCCGUGCCAGCAGCCGCGGUAAUACGGAGGGUGCAAGCGUUAAUCGGAAUUACUGGGCGUAAAGCGCACGCAGGCGGUUUGUUAAGUCAGAUGUGAAAUCCCCGGGCUCAACCUGGGAACUGCAUCUGAGACUGGAUAGCUUGAGUCUCGUAGAGGGGGGUAGAAUUCCAGGUGUAGCGGUGAAAUGCGUAGAGAUCUGGAGGAAUACCGGUGGCGAAGGCGGCCCCCUGGACGAAGACUGACGCUCAGGUGCGAAAGCGUGGGGAGCAAACAGGAUUAGAUACCCCCGUAGUC
rnacentral:rRNA from 1 species